rnacentral:rRNA from 1 species
ACCUUACCAAGGUUUGACAUCACCCGGACCGGUCUAGAGAUAGAUCUUCCCUUUUGGGCUGGGUGACAGGUGGUGCAUGGCUGUCGUCAGCUCGUGUCGUGAGAUGUUGGGUUAAGUCCCGCAACGAGCGCAACCCUUGUUCCAUGUUGCCAGCACGCUCUUCGGGGUGGUGGGGACUCAUGGGAGACUGCCGGGGUCAACUCGGAGGAAGGUGGGGAUGACGUCAAGUCAUCAUGCCCCUUAUGUCUUGGGCUGCAAACAUGCUACAAUGGCCGGUACAGAGGGCUGCGAUACCGUAAGGUGGAGCGAAUCCCUAAAAGCCGGUCUCAGUUCGGAUUGGGGUCUGCAACUCGACCCCAUGAAGUCGGAGUCGCUAGUAAUCGCAGAUCAGCAACGCUGCGGUGAAUACGUUCCCGGGCCUUGUACACACCG